rnacentral:lncRNA from 1 species
UACUCCUACAGUGGAUCAACUAUCACCAACAUCCACUACAAGGGCCCAUUGAGACCAUGUUUAUGUGUUAGUCAAACUCCAGUAGUCUUACUGCGAGUGGUUAUACCAUCAUAGAUUAAAGGAUCAUUCACACAACUACAGCAUCUAGACAAUCACUGUCGAUCGAGUAGAAAUCUAAGUGAUCUCUCGUAUGGUCAUACUCAGUACUAGUUGUUCUCUAACAACUACUACACUCAUUGCUCAGUAUCUCUAUACUUUAGACUAAAGACUCAUCUUUUCUAAAGGAAGCAAUCUAUGCACCGAUCUAUCUGGAUCGAUCACCAUCCUAUAAUGAUACUAU